rnacentral:lncRNA from 1 species
GAUGUUGUGAUGACUCAGUCUCCACUCUCCCUGCCCGUCACCCUUGGACAGCCGGCCUCCAUCUCCUGCAGGUCUAGUCAAAGCCUCGUAUACAGUGAUGGAAACACCUACUUGAAUUGGUUUCAGCAGAGGCCAGGCCAAUCUCCAAGGCGCCUAAUUUAUAAGGUUUCUAACUGGGACUCUGGGGUCCCAGACAGAUUCAGCGGCAGUGGGUCAGGCACUGAUUUCACACUGAAAAUCAGCAGGGUGGAGGCUGAGGAUGUUGGGGUUUAUUACUGCAUGCAAGGUACACACUGGCCUC